CAACAAACAGCAGUAGCUUUUUUGUUCAGACCUGAUGGAAACUAAGAUGAGGAUUUCAGGGUUAUUUGUAAUUUUCAUUACAGGUGCCGUGGCACAGUAUUCCGUAGAUCAGCCUGCUAAUUACAGAUGUACAGAAGGAGAUCCAUUUCAGAUUAACUGUACUUAUACAGGCACAGAGAACAGCCUGCAAUGGUACCGGCAGAUUCGUGACCAACCACCCCAAGCAUUGCUAUUCAUGUACGGUUCCGGUUCCAAAUCAGGAAAUGGUUUUACUAUGUUUUUGGACACAAAAAGCAAGUUCACCUUUCUGUACAAGAACACGAGUCAGACAGAAGACUCAGCCAUGUAUUAUUGUGCAGUGGUAGCACAGCAGUUCAAGCUGAUAGGAGCAAAGUACAAAUUCCUAUUGCAAGAAAUGUUUAGAGAAGUUUCCUGUCAGAAUACUCACGGUGCCUUGAGAAUGGGUGGUGUGCCCAAAACUGGUGGUGUCACAUUGGUACCUAAUAAAAGGUGCAAAUUGCCACAGUUACUGCAUAAGUACUUUUCUGGAGCUCAUUUUUGCUUGUAUUCUGUUGAUGUUAGGGAGUAGGGACUACCUACAUAACUAACCUCACUCUUUUGGCACCUGGUAAUAAAUGCUCUCAUGUCAUUCACCACAAACGCAAUUUAAGCAUAAUUGCUUAUAUAUUCAUAAAAUUAUACAUAAUUUUUGAAUGAUAACAUAUACAGUAUUAAGCUAUUAUUUUGAGUUAAAGGAAAUGUAAACCCAACAUUUUUUUGCCUAAUA